UGGACCAAGGUAAUCUGUUUCAUGAGGAAUACAGAGGAGUAUGAGGAGACAUAUAUAAAUUAAUGCAAAGUGAAGUAAGUGGAACCAGAAACACCAUAUACACAACUACAAAAGUGUAAGUGGACCACAGACAACAAACAAUCAAAACUGAAUGCUGUGGAAUUACGGUGAUCAAGCUUGGCUCUAAAAAAGCAGUAUGAAAAGGGCAUGAUUAUGCUUAAGAUCUCAAAGUAUCAUUAUUGUGAUUGGCUGGUUAUGGAAAUUUCACAAAUGGUGCGGAUACAUUGUCUUAUGAGUAGCCUAUGUUGUAUAGAUAGAAAACAUAUUGGAAGAAAGACUCAAGACCUGGAGUGGCCAAGGAACCUAUUUCAGUUGUCUUUGCAGACUUCAAAAUACCUAGCACAUGACAUGAACUGAAUAAAUAUUUGUUGAAUAAAUGAACAAGGGCCUUACACAUUUCAGUGAAUCAGCAUAUCUGUGAAAUAUCUAUGAGGAUUCAAAGACACAGAUUAAACCCGCAUCUUCAAAUCCUAAGCAACCAUUGUCCAUGACUUCUCAUAAAAUCUCCAUAUAAAGGUCCACCCAAUAGC